AACGAACGCUGGCGGCAGGCUUAACACAUGCAAGUCGAGCGCCCCGCAAGGGGAGCGGCAGACGGGUGAGUAACGCGUGGGAAUCUACCCAUCUCUACGGAAUAACGCAUGGAAACGUGUGCUAAUACCGUAUACGUCCUUCGGGAGAAAGAUUUAUCGGAGAUGGAUGAGCCCGCGUUGGAUUAGCUAGUUGGUGGGGUAAAGGCCUACCAAGGCGACGAUCCAUAGCUGGUCUGAGGGGAUGAUCAGCCACACUGGGACUGAGACACGGCCCAGACUCCUACGGGAGGCAGCAGUGGGGAAUAUUGGACAAUGGGCGCAAGCCUGAUCCAGCCAUGCCGCGUGAGUGAUGAAGGCCCUAGGGUUGUAAAGCUCUUUCACCGGUGAAGAUAAUGACGGUAACCGGAGAAGAAGCCCCGGCUAACUUCGUGCCAACAGCCGCCGUAAAAC
rnacentral:rRNA from 1 species